GCGUCCGUAGCUCUGCGGAUUAGAGCAUCGGUUUUCGGAACCGAGGGUCGUAGGUUCGAAUCCUACCGGGCGCACCA
rnacentral:tRNA from 1 species